rnacentral:misc_RNA from 1 species
AUAGUGAUGGUACAAUGUGUAUUUUUACAUAGAAACUCGGCAGUAAAUUGGCAGUUUGUGUUAGGGGUUGUGAGGAAAUCUGGGAACAUACUAUUUGCAAUUUCAAGGCAUAAAUAUUAGGUAAAGGGUGAUGCAUUAAUAAUUACUUCUCCUGACUGAGCAAAUGGGGAAGACAGAUGGCAAUUAUAUUUAUAUCGUGAGGAAGUUUUUUAUGUUUGAUAUGGUUUGUGAUGGUGCAAGUUUGAGA